rnacentral:rRNA from 1 species
AUUGAGUUUCUUAGUGGCGGACGGGUGAGUAACGCGUGAGGAACCUGCCUCGGAGUGGGGAAUAACAGUCCGAAAGGACUGCUAAUACCGCAUAAUGCAGCUGAGUCGCAUGACACUGGCUGCCAAAGAUUUAUCGCUCUGAGAUGGCCUCGCGUCUGAUUAGCUAGUUGGCGGGGUAACGGCCCACCAAGGCGACGAUCAGUAGCCGGACUGAGAGGUUGGCCGGCCACAUUGGGACUGAGACACGGCCCAGACUCC